UCUUAGAAAUAUUUAGAGCAUAAGAAAUAUAAUCAAAAAUCAAUUAAUUAAAGGUACAGAAAUUCCCGAAUUUAUCUCUCUAGAUAGUUUCAUAACAAAUUUUCAAGUGGAUCUUAAUUUUAAUUGUGAAAAGUGUAAAAUAUUUUAAAAUAGUAACUAUGUUCAAUCCUAUAACUGGCGCUCAAAGACAAUCAAAUCAAAAGUAAUUUCAGUUGAAAUCAGAUUACAUUUAAACGACGUUCUUUAGAAUGAAUAAAUCACAAAGGAGUUCUAACCUUGAGACACAAAAGCGAAACCAGAUAAAGGUCUGAUGGGAACCGAUGCAGCGCUUCAACGGCCAAACCCCUGCAGCAACGCCGAUUGUUCACAAACAAUUGAAGCCUUUUAAAAAAAUCCUUUUCAUGACCAAUCAAGGAUAUGAAAUUGUUAUAAACUAUAAUUGUUUUGGAUUCAAAAGCAAAAAUAAACACAGAUUUAUUAAAUA